rnacentral:rRNA from 1 species
UCCAAGGCUAAAUACUCUCUAAUGACCGAUAGUGAACAAGUACCGUGAGGGAAAGGCGAAAAGAACCCCGGGAGGGGAGUGAAAUAGAACCUGAAAUCGUAUGCAUACAAGCAGUAGGAGCAGAUUUAUUCUGUAACUGCGUACCUUUUGUAUAAUGGGUCAGCGACUUACUUCUCAGUAGCAAGGUUAACCAAAUAGGGGAGCCGUAGGGAAACCGAGUCUUAAAUGGGCGUUUAGUUGCUGGGAGUAGACCCGAAACCGGGUGAUCUAUCCAUGGCCAGGGUGAAGGUUAGGUAAAACUAACUGGAGGCCCGAACCCACUUAUGUUGAAAAAUGAGGGGAUGAGCUGUGGAUAGGGGUGAAAGGCCAAACAAACCCGGAGAUAGCUGGUUCUCUCCGAAAUCUAUUUAGGUAGAGCCUCAUGUAUUACUGUCGGGGGUAGAGCACUGUUAUGGUUAGCGGGUCGUCAAGACUUAGUAAGCCAUUGCAAACUCCGAAUACCGACAAGUAUGAGCAUGGGAGACACACUGCGGGUGCUAACGUCCGUAGUGGAAAGGGAAACAACCCAGACCGUCAGCUAAGGUCCCAAAAUUGUAGUUAAGUGGGAAACGAUGUGAAAAGGCCAAGACAGCCAGGAAGUUGGCUUAGAAGCAGCCAUUCCUUUAAAGAGUGCGUAAUAGCUCACUGGUCGAGUCGGUUUGCGCGGAAGAUUUAACGGGGCUAAAACUACAUACCGAAGCUACGGAUUGCAAUUUAUUGCAAUGGUAGGAGAGCGUUCUGUAAGCCGUUGAAGGUAAACUGUAAGGUUUACUGGAGGUAUCAGAAGUGCGAAUGCUGACAUGAGUAACGAUAAAGGGGGUGAAAAACCCCCUCGCCAGAAGUCCAAGGUUUCCUACGCAACGUUAAUCGGCGUAGGGUUAGUCGGCCCCUAAGGCGAGGCAGAAAUGCGUAGUCGAUGGGAAAUAGGUUAAUAUUCCUAUACUUCAUAUAACUGCGAUGGGAAGACGGAGAAGGUUAGCGCAGCUUGGCUAUGGUUGUCCAAGUUCAAGCGUGUAGAAAUGAGUUUUAGGAAAAUCCGGAACUCUAUAUUUUAAGGCGUGAUAACGAUCCCUCUUUUGGGAGAAGUGCGUGAUACCAUACUUCCAGGAAAAUCCUCUAAGCUUCAGGUUAUAUGAAACCGUACCCCAAACCGACACAGGUGGACGAGAUGAGAAUUCUAAGGCGCUUGAGAGAACUCGGGUGAAGGAACUAGGCAAAAUGACACCGUAACUUCGGGAGAAGGUGUGCUCUUGCCGGUAAUUUUACUUGCUAAAUGAAGCUGGUAAGAGUUGAAGAUACCAGGUGGCUCCGACUGUUUAUUAAAAACACAGCACUCUGCAAACACGUAAGUGGACGUAUAGGGUGUGACGCCUGCCCGGUGCUUGAAGGUUAAUUGAUGAGGUUAGGAUUUAUCCGAAGCUUUUGAUCGAAGCCCAAGUAAACGGCGGCCGUAACUAUAACGGUCCUAAGGUAGCGAAAUUCCUUGUCGGGUAAGUUCCGACCUGCACGAAUGGCGUAACGAGGGCUACACUGUCUCUACCCGAGACUCAGUGAAAUUGAAAUUGCUGUUAAGAUGCAGUAUACCCGCGGCCAGACGGAAAGACCCCGUGCACCUUUACUACAGCUUUGCAUUGAAUUUUGAUCCUACUUGUGUAGGAUAGGUGGUAGGCUUUGAAACUUAGACGCUAGUCUUGAGUGGAGCCAUCCUUGAAAUACCACCCUAGUAUGGUUGGAAUUCUAACCUAGGUCCAUUAUCUGGACCAGGGACAAUGCAUGGUGGG